CGGGGCCACCAAAUGUAAAUUUAAAUAAUCAGGCAUCUCAGUUCUCAAAGCAAGUUUUGAGCUUCACGUACCACUAUUUUGAGUUUCUUUAACCAUUCAUNGAGUUCCUCAGACUGUCCUUUUCAUUUGCACGAUAUAUAAAAUGCUAUGCCAAACAUUUUAUUGGAAACUAUGUCUAGAAUGAGCACAAAGAGGACAGCCAUGAAACUCGGCCGGAAAC
rnacentral:misc_RNA from 1 species